rnacentral:rRNA from 1 species
GAUGAACGCUGGCGGCGUGCCUAAUACAUGCAAGUCGAGCGAACGGACGAGAAGCUUGCUUCUCUGAUGUUAGCGGCGGACGGGUGAGUAACACGUGGAUAACCUACCUAUAAGACUGGGAUAACUUCGGGAAACCGGAGCUAGUACCGGAUAAUAUUUUGAACCGCAUGGUUCAAAAGUGGAAGACGGUCUUGCUGUCACUUAUAGAUGGAUCCGCGCUGCAUUAGCUAGUUGGUAAGGUAACGGCUUACCAAGGCAACGAUGCAUAGCCGACCUGAGAGGGUGAUCGGCCACACUGGAACUGAGACACGGUCCAGACUCCUACGGGAGGCAGCAGUAGGGAAUCUUCCGCAAUGGGCGAAAGCCUGACGGAGCAACGCCGCGUGAGUGAUGAAGGUCUUCGGAUCGUAAAACUCUGUUAUUAGGGAAGAACAUAUGUGUAAGUAACUGUGCACAUCUUGACGGUACCUAAUCAGAAAGCCACGGCUAACUACGUG